ACACAUGCAAGUCGAGGGGAAACGACAUCGAAAGCUUGCUUUUGAUGGGCGUCGACCGGCGCACGGGUGAGUAACGCGUAUCCAACCUGCCCACCACUUGGGGAUAACCUUGCGAAAGUAAGACUAAUACCCAAUGAUAUCUCUAGAAGACAUCUGAAAGAGAUUAAAGAUUUAUCGGUGAUGGAUGGGGAUGCGUCUGAUUAGCUUGUUGGCGGGGUAACGGCCCACCAAGGCGACGAUCAGUAGGGGUCCUGAGAGGAAGGUCCCCCACAUUGGAACUGAGACACGGUCCAAACUCCUACGGGAGGCAGCAGUGAGGAAUAUUGGUCAAUGGACGAGAGUCUGAACCAGCCAAGUAGCGUGCAGGAUGACGGCCCUAUGGGUUGUAAACUGCUUUUAUAAGGGAAUAAAGUGAGUCUCGUGAGACUUUUUGCAUGUACCUUAUGAAUAAGGACCGGCUAAUUCCGUGCCAGCAGCCGCGGUAAUACGGAAGGUCCGGGCGUUAUCCGGAUUUAUUGGGUUUAAAGGGAGCGUAGGCCGGAGAUUAAGCGUGUUGUGAAAUGUAGGUGCUCAACAUCUGCACUGCAGCGCGAACUGGUUUCCUUGAGUACGCACAAAGUGGGCGGAAUUCGUGGUGUAGCGGUGAAAUGCUUAGAUAUCACGAAGAACUCCGAUUGCGAAGGCAGCUCACUGGAGCGCAACUGACGCUGAAGCUCGAAAGUGCGGGUAUCGAACAGGAUUAGAUACCCUGGUAGUCCGCACGGUAAACGAUGGAUGCCCGCUGUUGGUCUGAAUAGGUCAGCGGCCAAGC
rnacentral:rRNA from 1 species